rnacentral:rRNA from 1 species
UCAGGCCUAACACAUGCAAGUCGAGCGGGGUUUUCGGACCUAGCGGCGGACGGGUGAGUAAUGCGUAGGAAGCUACCCGACAGAGGGGGAUACCAGUUGGAAACGACUGUUAAUACCGCAUAAUGUCUACGGACCAAAGUGUGGGACCUUCGGGCCACAUGCUGUCGGAUGCGCCUACGUGGGAUUAGCUAGUUGGUGAGGUAAUGGCUCACCAAGGCGACGAUCCCUAGCUGGUUUGAGAGGAUGAUCAGCCACACUGGAACUGAGACACGGUCCAGACUCCUACGGGAGGCAGCAGUGGGGAAUAUUGGACAAUGGGCGCAAGCCUGAUCCAACAGUGCCGCGUGUGUGAAGAAGGCCUUCGGG